rnacentral:rRNA from 1 species
CCUACGGGAGGCAGCAGUGGGGAAUAUUGGACAAUGGGCGAAAGCCUGAUCCAGCAAUGCCGCGUGAGUGAUGAAGGCCUUAGGGUCGUAAAGCUCUUUUACCAGGGAUGAUAAUGGCAGUACCUGGAGAAUAAGCUCCGGCUAACUCCGUGCCAGCAGCCGCGGUAAUACGGAGGGAGCUAGCGUUGUUCGGAAUUACUGGGCGUAAAGCGUGCGUAGGCGGUUAUUCAAGUCAGAGGUGAAAGCCCGGGGCUCAACCCCGGAACGGCCUUUGAAACUAGAUAACUAGAAUCUUGGAGAGGUCAGUGGAAUUCCGAGUGUAGAGGUGAAAUUCGUAGAUAUUCGGAAGAACACCAGUGGCGAAGGCGACUGACUGGACAAGUAUUGACGCUGAGGUACGAAAGCGUGGGGAGCAAACAGGAUUAGAUACCCUGGUAGUCCACGCCGUAAACGAUGAUAACUAGCUGUCCGGACACUUGGUGUUUGGGUGGCGCAGCUACGACAUUAAGUUAUCCGUCCGUCGGGUAGGUACGGUCGCGAGAAGUAAACGUAACAAAUAGUAAGUUAGUACGGUCGUGUAGACGUUGUCCGAACGGACGACGACGAGGGAGGAGG